GAGUUUGAUCCUGGCUCAGGACGAACGCUGGCGGCGUGCUUAACACAUGCAAGUCGAACGGUGACCUCGGAGCUUGCUCCGGGUGAUCAGUGGCGAACGGGUGAGUAACACGUGAGCAACCUGCCCCCGACUCUGGGGAUAACCCCGGGAAAUCGGAGCUAAUACCGGAUACGAGACGCACAGGCAUCUGUUGCGUCUGGAAAGAAUUUCGGUCGGGGAUGGGCUCGCGGCCUAUCAGCUAGUUGGUGGGGUAGUGGCCUACCAAGGCGACGACGGGUAGCCGGCCUGAGAGGGCGACCGGCCACACUGGGACUGAGACACGGCCCAGACUCCUACGGGAGGCAGCAGUGGGGAAUAUUGCACAAUGGGCGCAAGCCUGAUGCAGCGACGCCGCGUGAGGGAUGACGGCCUCGGUUGUAACUACUUCUGCAGGAGAAGACGAAGUAGA
rnacentral:rRNA from 1 species